GUAGCGUAAUCACUUGUCUUUUAAAUAAAGACCCGUAUGAAAGGCAAAACGAAAGUUCAACUGUCUCUUUAAUCUAGUCAGUGAAAUUAAUUUUUCCGUGCAAAAGCGGAAAUAACUCUAUAAGACGAGAAGACCCUAUGGAGCUUUAAAUAAAAAUUAACCAUACUUUAACUACUGACCUAAGGGUAAAGAAUAAAAAUGUAUGACCAUAAUUUUAAUUUUCGGUUGGGGCGACCACGGAAGAAAACCCAUCCUCCGCGAUAGAAAAUCUAGAACAACAGUUCAAAACUUAAAACAUUUGUUAUAAAUGACCCACUAAGUGAUCAACGAACCAAGUUACCCUAGGGAUAACAGCGCAAUCCUUUCUAAGAGUUCAUAUCGACGAAUGGGUUUACGACCUCGAUGUUGGAUCAGGACACCCCAAUGGUGCAGCCGCUAUUAAAGGUUCGUUUGUUCAACGAUUAAAGUCCUACGUGAUCUGAGUUCAGACCGGACGUCGCCUGUUUAUCAAAAACAUAACGUGA
rnacentral:rRNA from 1 species